rnacentral:rRNA from 1 species
UACGGGGGGGGCAAGCGUUGUUCGGAAUUACUGGGCGGAAAGGGCUCGUAGGUGGCCAACUAAGUCAGACGUGAAAUCCCUCGGCUUAACCGGGGAACUGCGUCUGAUACUGGAUGGCUUGAGGUUGGGAGAGGGAUGCGGAAUUCCAGGUGUAGCGGUGAAAUGCGUAGAUAUCUGGAGGAACACCGGUGGCGAAGGCGGCAUCCUGGACCAAUUCUGACACUGAGGAGCGAAAGCCAGGGGAGCAAACGGG